CUUGUACGCACCGCCCGUCACACCACGGGAGUGGGUUUCACCAGAAGUAGGUAGUCUAACCGCAAGGAGGACGCUUACCACGGUGAGAUUCAUGACUGGGGUG
rnacentral:rRNA from 1 species